rnacentral:tRNA from 1 species
AAAAAAAUAAUCUCCAAGCUAUUGGGCCCAUAACCCAAAAAUGAUACAAAGUCUCUUA